GAUGAACGCUGGCGGCGUGCCUAAUACAUGCAAGUCGAGCGAACGGACGAGAAGCUUGCUUCUCUGAUGUUAGCGGCGGACGGGUGAGUAACACGUGGAUAACCUACCUAUAAGACUGGGAUAACUUCGGGAAACCGGAGCUAAUACCGGAUAAUACUUUGAACCGCAUGGUUCAAAAGUGAAAGACGGUCUUGCUGUCACUUAUAGAUGGAUCCGCGCUGCAUUAGCUAGUUGGUAAGGUAACGGCUUACCAAGGCAACGAUGCAUAGCCGACCUGAGAGGGUGAUCGGCCACACUGGAACUGAGACACGGUCCAGACUCCUACGGGAGGCAGCAGUAGGGAAUCUUCCGCAAUGGGCGAAAGCCUGACGGAGCAACGCCGCGUGAGUGAUGAGGGUCUUCGGAUCGUAAAACUCUGUUAUUAGGGAAGAACAUAUGUGUAAGUAACUGUGCACAUCUUGACGGUACCUAAUCAGAAAGCCACGGCUAACUACGUGCCAGCAGCCGCGGUAAUACGUAGGUGGCAAGCGUUAUCCGGAAUUAUUGGGCGUAAAGCGCGCGUAGGCGGUUUUUUAAGUCUGAUGUGAAAGCCCACGGCUCAACCGUGGAGGGUCAUUGGAAACUGGAAAACUUGAGUGCAGAAGAGGAAAGUGGAAUUCCAUGUGUAGCGGUGAAAUGCGCAGAGAUAUGGAGGAACACCAGUGGCGAAGGCGACUUUCUGGUCUGUAACUGACGCUGAUGUGCGAAAGCGUGGGGAUCAAACAGGAUUAGAUACCCUGGUAGUCCACGCCGUAAACGAUGAGUGCUAAGUGUUAGGGGGUUUCCGCCCCUUAGUGCUGCAGCUAACGCAUUAAGCACUCCGCCUGGGGAGUACGACCGCAAGGUUGAAACUCAAAGGAAUUGACGGGGACCCGCACAAGCGGUGGAGCAUGUGGUUUAAUUCGAAGCAACGCGAAGAACCUUACCAAAUCUUGACAUCCUUUGACAACUCUAGAGAUAGAGCUUUCCCCUUCGGGGGACAAAGUGACAGGUGGUGCAUGGUUGUCGUCAGCUCGUGUCGUGAGAUGUUGGGUUAAGUCCCGCAACGAGCGCAACCCUUAAGCUUAGUUGCCAUCAUUAAGUUGGGCACUCUAAGUUGACUGCCGGUGACAAACCGGAGGAAGGUGGGGAUGACGUCAAAUCAUCAUGCCCCUUAUGAUUUGGGCUACACACGUGCUACAAUGGACAAUACAAAGGGCAGCGAAACCGCGAGGUCAAGCAAAUCCCAUAAAGUUGUUCUCAGUUCGGAUUGUAGUCUGCAACUCGACUACAUGAAGCUGGAAUCGCUAGUAAUCGUAGAUCAGCAUGCUACGGUGAAUACGUUCCCGGGUCU
rnacentral:rRNA from 1 species